rnacentral:rRNA from 1 species
UACGAAGGGGGCUAGCGUUGCUCGGAAUCACUGGGCGUAAAGCGUGCGUAGGCGGCUGCGCAAGUCGGUUGUGAAACCCCGGGGCUCAACCCCGGAACUGCAUCCGAUACUGCGUGGCUAGAGGUAGGUAGGGGAGAUCGGAAUUCCUGGUGCAGCGGUGAAAUGCGCAGAUAUCAGGAGGAACACCGGUGGCGAAGGCGGGUCCCUGGGACGGUACUGACGCUGAGACGCGAAAGCGUGGGGAGCGAACAGG